UACUGAGUGGCAAACGGGUGAGUAUAAUGUGGGAAUCUGCCUUUUGGUUUGGAAUAACACGGGGAAACUUGUGCUAAUACCGAAUAAGCCCUUACGGGGAAAGUUUUAACGCCGAAAGAUGAGCCCGCACUUGAUUAGCUAGUUGGUAAGGUAAAAGCUUACCAAGGCAACGAUCAAUAGCUGUUCUUAGAGGAAGACCAGCCACAUUGGGACUGAGACACGGCCCAGACUCCUACGGGAGGCAGCAGUGGGGAAUCUUGCACAAUGGGGGAAACCCUGAUGCAGCGAUGCCGCGUGAGUGAAGAAGGCCCUUGGGUUGUAAAACUCUUUCGUCGGGGAAGAAAAUGACUGUACCCGAAUAAGAAGGUCCG
rnacentral:rRNA from 1 species